GAUGAAGAACGUAGCGAAAUGCGAUAAGUAAUGUGAAUUGCAGAAUUCAGUGAAUCAUCGAAUCUUUGAACGCUCCUUGCACCCUUUGGCAUUCCGAAGGGUAUGCUCGUUUGAGUGUCAUUGUACUCUCACACUUCUGAUCCUUUGGAUUGGGAGCGGUGGACUUGGGUGUUGCUGCUUUACUGUGGCUCACCUCAAAUGCAUUCGUGCAACUCUUGGUUGGACAUAGUACGGCGUGAUAAGUAUCUUCGCCGGCACCUCGCAAGAGGGUGGCUGAUCAGGAGCUCUGUGCUUUCCAACUGUCUUCAGACAACAACUGACAACUUGACCUCAAAUCGAGUAGGACCACCCGCUGAACUUAAGCAUAUCAAUAAGCGGAGGA
rnacentral:misc_RNA from 1 species